AACGAACGCUGGCGGCAUGCCUAACACAUGCAAGUCGAACGAUGCCUUCGGGCAUAGUGGCGCACGGGUGCGUAACGCGUGGGAAUCUGCCUUUCGGGUCGGAAUAACUCAGGGAAACUUGAGCUAAUACCGGAUAACGUCGCAAGACCAAAGAUUUAUCACCGAAAGAUGAGCCCGCGUAGGAUUAGCUAGUUGGUGAGGUAAAGGCUCACCAAGGCGACGAUCCUUAGCUGGUCUGAGAGGAUGAUCAGCCACACUGGGACUGAGACACGGCCCAGACUCCUACGGGAGGCAGCAGUGGGGAAUAGUGGACAAUGGGCGAAAGCAUGAUCCAGCAAUGACGCGUGAGUGAUGAAGGCAUUAGGGUUGUAAAGCUCUUUUACCCGGGAAGAUAAUGACGGUACCGGGAGAAUAAGCCCCGGCUAACUACGUG
rnacentral:rRNA from 1 species